CCCUGGCUGGCUCAGUCGGAAGAGCAUGUGACUCUUGAUCUCAAAGUUGUGAGUUCGAGCCCUAUGUUGGGUG
rfam:Ailuropoda melanoleuca scaffold4847_11, whole genome shotgun sequence.